rnacentral:rRNA from 1 species
GAUGAACGCUGGCGGCGUGCCUAAUACAUGCAAGUCGAGCGAACGGACGAGAAGCUUGCUCCUCUGAUGUUAGCGGCGGACGGGUGAGUAACACGUGGAUAACCUACCUAUAAGACUGGGAUAACUUCGGGAAACCGUAGCUAAUACCGGAUAAUAUUUUGAACCGCAUGGUUCAAAAGUGAAAGACGGUCUUGCUGUCACUUAUAGAUGGAUCCGCGCUGCAUUAGCUAGUUGGUAAGGUAACGGCUUACCAAGGCAACGAUGCAUAGCCGACCUGAGAGGGUGAUCGGCCACACUGGAACUGAGACACGGUCCAGACUCCUACGGGAGGCAGCAGUAGGGAAUCUUCCGCAAUGGGCGAAAGCCUGACGGAGCAACGCCGCGUGAGUGAUGAAGGUCUUCGGAUCGUAAAACUCUGUUAUUAGGGAAGAACAUAUGUGUAAGUAACUGUGCACAGCUUGACGGUACCUAAUCAGAAAGCCACGGCUAACUACGUG